rnacentral:tRNA from 1 species
GGGGAUGUAGCUUAAUUGGUGAAGCAUCUAGUUUGCAUCUAGAAGACUAUCGGUUCAAGUCCGGUUAUCUCC